UACGGAGGGUGCGAGCGUUAAUCGGAAUUACUGGGCGUAAAGGGUGCGUAGGUGGUUGGAUAAGUUAUCUGUGAAAGCCCCGGGCUCAACCUGGGAAGGUCAGAUAAGACUGUUCGACUCGAGUAUAGGAGAGGGUAGUGGAAUUUCCGGUGUAGCGGUGAAAUGCGUAGAGAUCGGAAGGAACACCAGUGGCGAAGGCGGCUACCUGGCCUGAUACUGACACUGAAGCACGAAAGCGUGGGGAGCAAACAGG
rnacentral:rRNA from 1 species